GACGUAGGGAGCUAGCGUUGUUCGGAUAUACUGGGCGUAAAGCGCACGUAGGCGGCGCCGCAAGUCAGGGGUGAAAUCCCGGGGCUCAACCCCGGAACUGCCCUUGAAACUGCAGUGCUAGAAUUCUGGAGAGGCGAGUGGAAUUCCGAGUGUAGAGGUGAAAUUCGUAGAUAUUCGGAAGAACACCAGUGGCGAAGGCGACUCGCUGGACAGACAUUGACGCUGAGGUGCGAAAGCGUGGGGAGCAAACAGG
rnacentral:rRNA from 1 species